GACGAACGCUGGCGGCGUGCCUAACACAUGCAAGUCGAGCGAAAUACCCCUUCGGGGAUAUUUAGCGGCGGACGGGUGAGUAACACGUGGGUAACCUGCCUGUAAGACUGGGAUAACUUCGGGAAACCGGAGCUAAUACCGGAUAGUUUCUUUUCUCGCAUGAGAGGAGAUGGAAAGAUGGUUUAGGCUAUCACUUACAGAUGGACCCGCGGCGCAUUAGCUAGUUGGUGAGGUAACGGCUCACCAAGGCGACGAUGCGUAGCCGACCUGAGAGGGUGAUCGGCCACACUGGGACUGAGACACGGCCCAGACUCCUACGGGAGGCAGUAGUAGGGAAUCUUCCGCAAUGGACGAAAGUCUGACGGAGCAACGCCGCGUGAGCGAAGAAGGCCUUCGGGUCGUAAAGCUCUGUUGUUAGGGAAGAACAAGUACGAGAGUAACUGCUCGUACCUUGACGGUACCUAACCAGAAAGCCACGGCUAACUACGUGCCAGCAGCCGCAGUAAAAC
rnacentral:rRNA from 1 species